AUAAUAACCCCUCCGUCUCCGUCUCCGUCUCCUCCCUCUCCCUCUUCCUCCUCCACUGUCCUAAUGCCGGCGCCGCCACGCUCAUUCCUAUAACAAUUAGAAGAAAAAAAUUAUAACUACGCAUAUUGGUGUAUAUUUGCUUCAUCGAAACUGGACUUUGGAUUGAAGUGGGUUUUGGAUUUAACUAGAGUUCAGCUGAUUUUUUUUUUUCCUUUCGCUGUUUAAUUUUAUAAUUGUGGUAGUAAAAUUUUUUCAGUUAUGCUAUUUAUUUGAUAGAAAAUAAAUUAUGUCAAAAAUUAUAUUAAUGCUUUAUAUAACAUAAUAAAUAAUAAAUAUAUUAUCUAACAAAAAUAUAUAAAUAAUAAAUAAAAGUUCUUUCUCUUUUUUUAUUAUAUUUUUUUCUCACAUCUUUUUUUUAUAAUGGGUUAAUUUCAUACCGGUUCCUACAAACGGUUUGUUACCGUUAGAGUACUAUUUAUUUUAUAAGUGGAAUAACCUUUUUAGCAUCACAAAUAUGUUCCUUUAAAAGUUCCAAUUGAUAAUUAAAGAAGGGUAAAAAAGUUAAUUCACUUCAUUAACUAAGUAGGAUUAGGUAUUUUACCUACAGUUAGCUAACUUUUUCUUACGGAUUCUAAUAGUAGGAAUAUAUUUGAAAAUAUUAAAACUUUUGUAAUAAUAACAUAUAUAAGUUGAACUUUAUAAAAACAUAUUUAUAAUUUACUAUAUUUGUAGAGACCUGUAUG
rnacentral:lncRNA from 1 species